rnacentral:rRNA from 1 species
UACGGGGGGGGUAAGCGUUGUUCGGAAUUACUGGGCGUAAAGGGCUCGUAGGCGGCCAACUAAGUCGGACGUGAAAUCCCUCAGCUUAACUGGGGAACUGCGUCCGAUACUGGAUGGCUUGGAUUUGGGAGAGGGAUGCGGAAUUCCAGGUGUAGCGGUGAAAUGCGUAGAUAUCUGGAGGAACACCGGUGGCGAAGGCGGCAUCCUGGACCAACAUUGACGCUGAGGAGCGAAAGCGUGGGGAGCGAACAGG